rnacentral:tRNA from 1 species
AGGAGUGUAGUUCAGUGAUAGAAUGCUUGCUUGGCAUGUGUGAGGCCCUGGGUUUGAUUCCCAGCAUCAUUA